rnacentral:lncRNA from 1 species
CUGGUUUCAUCUUUUUCCUUUAGCCAUUCAGGUGCUUCCUGAGAUAAACUCUGCUCUUUAAAAUAGCAAGCUGUCUUUCAAAGCUCCCAUUGAAAAGGUUAACGUAUAUUGUUUAUUUCUCUGCCCAUAAUUUUUACUCACUUUAGAAAAUAGGCGUUUUUAGCAGCCUAGUAUUUGCAUUUGACUAUCCAAAUAGGAUUUAAAGAGUGUUAAUAAAAAAAACAGAAAAAAAAAGAUCGCUCAGUACGGAAUGAGCCAAAAAGAAAAAAAAAGUGGAGGGAGCAGAAUGGAGGGUGAGAAAAGUGGGCUGCAAGUGAAUUGAGUCAGCUCCUGUGUUUCUGUCGCAGGAGUUCAGGUUCUCGGGGAAGGGUAGCAAGGGCCUCUGGUGAUUCACAGAGGUCCUGGGGCUGCGCCAGGGGUGACCAAGGCCCAGAGUGUGGCUCACAGGUUACGUCUUGCUGAUCAGCACUUUUUCACUUGGAUUUGUAAUCCAAAAAGUACUUGCCAAUGGACAUUUUUGAGCGAGGGAAAUACCAGAGGUUGUUCUCUGAACUGUUUUUUUUUUUUUAAUCAUUCCUUACAUUUGAGUUUGCUUCCUGUUUUUCUAUGUAAGGCAUAAACUCCAUCUUAAAAAAAAUAAAUAAGUGAACAACAGUCAUUUCUACCAUCAGAAUUUUGCUCAGAAUUGUACCAGAGAAUGUCCCUGUGGAUAGUGAUGCGGGGUUGGUGAGCCAAGGAGUCGAAAGAAAGAUUUCUUGGACUCUCAAGGUCUGGCAGUGGUGCUCUUUUAUUUAGAGAAUAGUACAGAAUAGCAUGGGGACAGGACCCAUGGGCAGUCAGAGCUGCUGCUGCUGCCCUGAGUUGAGGGUUAGGGCUAAUUUUAUAAGGCAUGGGUACGUGACUUAUUUUUACUGGAAGAAGAAAAGAUGAUGUAAAAAGUCAUUAAAUGAUUUCAGUGCAGAUGGGGUCUGGUUAUUGUGCGGUCAUAUAACUUUAGAUACAAAUCUGGCCAUAUAGAUUGGCAUGUAGGUGAGGAUGCCCUGGGCUUCUCUCCCUGGGGCAGCCCU